rnacentral:rRNA from 1 species
ACGGGGUGCAGCAGGCGCGAACACUUUACAAUGCGGGAAACCGCGAUAAGGGAACCCUGAGUGCCAGCAUCAAAUGUUGGCUGUCCAGAUGAUUAAAAAUCAUUUGUUAGCAAGGGCCGGGCAAGACCGGUGCCAGCCGCCGCGGUAACACCGGCGGCCCGAGUGGUAGCCGUUUUUAUUGGGUCUAAAGGGUCCGUAGCCGGCCUGAUAAGUCCUUUGGGAAAUCUGGCAGCUUAACUGUCAGGCUUCUAAGGGAUACUGUCAGGCUUGGGACCGGAAGAGGUAAGGGGUACUCCAGGGGUAGGAGUGAAAUCUUGUAAUCCCUGGGGGACCAUCUGUGGCGAAGGCGCCUUACCAGAACGGGUCCGACGGUGAGGGACGAAAGCUAGGGGAGCAAACCGGAUUAGAUACCCGGGUAGUCCUAGCUGUAAACGAUGCUCGCUAGGUGUCAGACACGGUGCGACCGUGUUUGGUGCCGCAGGGAAGCCGUUAAGCGAGCCACCUGGAAGUACGUCGCAAGGC